ACAGUGCAAUCGGUGUAAAAGUAUAGGAAAAGGUAAUAUGGUUUCGAAAACAACCACCCACUGUUAUCGUGAGAAAUAAAUGGUAAGUGACAGAUUGGAAACCAAAACACCCAGUGUGGCAUUUGUUGAUGCCUGGGAGGCGUAAUACCUAGCAAAGAAUUCAACCUGGCACUAUGCCUUGUUGGUUUGCUUGCCUAGUGUCAGGGAUAAUUUAAUGAAUGGAGUUGUAUAGGAUUUAUAACUAGGUGAUUCCAGAUCACAUCACGCCUAAACGGAAUCUGGGUGCUUCACACAUAUCAAUAGCACGUAAACUCAGCUCCCUGGGGUCAGUUUUGUCAACAAGUGUCAGAACCCUGUAUUAAGAGCAAGUAAAUCUGAUGGAAGUGCAUGAUGAGUACUACCAUGAGGUAGGUGGCGCCCUAUUGGAAAUCGGCGAACUCAAAAUUGCAUUCAAAACUAAAAAAUGCAUCAUAGAAAUGCAGCACGCAUUCGAUACGAACACCUUUUAUUGCCUUUUGAAGGACGCCCUCUAGAUCGUGGUAGCACUUUUCGAGAAUCAGUAAUAGGCAAUGGACACCCGCACUUUAUAUUGAAAAGACUUGACAAAAAGAAACACUACUAAGAAGAUAGCAAACAUUUUCAAGUAUGUUACUGGUCACAGUUGUUGUAUCAUGUGUUUGUGUUGGCAAACAUGAGCUAUCUUUUGUAACUUGCUCUAAUAACAAUAAACUACAAAGCUUCAAGUGGGUUGUGAGUAGGUGAUUAAAGAAAUGAAUGGCUUGAUGUCAACAAGGUUUAAAAACAGGAGUUUAUCAUUCUAUAUAACUUUUAACAAGGUCAAAUAAUAUAUAAUAAAACUUCUAUUCUGUGUUAGGCCUUAUAAAAAAUAUUAUUAGUUUAUCACCUUAUCUGAGCAGGAAAAGUGAUGAGG